AACGAACGCUGGCGGCAUGCCUAACACAUGCAAGUCGAACGAGACCUUCGGGUCUAGUGGCGCACGGGUGCGUAACGCGUGGGAACCUGCCUUUAGGUUCGGAAUAACUCAGAGAAAUUUGAGCUAAUACCGGAUGAUGUCUUCGGACCAAAGAUUUAUCGCCUUUAGACGGGCCCGCGUUGGAUUAGCUAGUUGGUGGGGUAAAGGCCUACCAAGGCGACGAUCCAUAGCUGGUCUGAGAGGAUGAUCAGCCACACUGGGACUGAGACACGGCCCAGACUCCUACGGGAGGCAGCAGUGGGGAAUAUUGGACAAUGGGCGAAAGCCUGAUCCAGCAAUGCCGCGUGAGUGAUGAAGGCCUUAGGGUUGUAAAGCUCUUUUACCCGAGAUGAUAAUGACAGUAUCGGGAGAAUAAGCUCCGGCUAACUCCGUG
rnacentral:rRNA from 1 species